rnacentral:rRNA from 1 species
UACGGAGGGGGCUAGCGUUGUUCGGAAUUACUGGGCGUAAAGCGCGCGUAGGCGGACCUGCAAGUCGGGGGUGAAAGCCCGAGGCUCAACCUCGGAACUGCCUUCGAUACUGCGGGUCUCGAGUCCGGGAGAGGUGAGUGGAAUUCCCAGUGUAGAGGUGAAAUUCGUAGAUAUUAGGAAGAACACCAGUGGCGAAGGCGGCUCACUGGCCCGGUACUGACGCUGAGGCGCGAAAGCGUGGGGAGCAAACAGG